rnacentral:lncRNA from 1 species
UGAAAGAAAACAAUAACUCCACUGUAACUUCCACCUCUCCUUAAAUAGAUAGCACCGCACCAGCAGUCUUUACUGUCACCAGUCAACCUCCUUUUUCCCCCUUCCCCGCCCCUCAACACCUGUCCCGCGCUACCCACUCACAUCGACCCACUGACCGGGAGCGCGCACCAGCCGAAGAUGUGAUUGCGGCUUCACGGAUAGCGAGAGAGGGAGUCCUGUACCGCAUUACACGAAAUAACGAGCACAGGCACACACUUACACACAUGCUACUGCAGAGCUGACACACACAGCGGAGAAAAGAGAGGGAACAGCGAAAUAUCUGCGGUCACGCCACUGGCACGCAGGUAAGUAAACAACAGCAUUCCUCUAACAGGCUUCUAAUAAUAGGUCAUACCUUCGCAUCGGGUAGUGUCAUAUUGCCUAGUGGCUAACGGGUUUAUGAAUAUUUGAAGAUGUCAAGAUUAAUUAUGCUGUGAAGGGAUGCCGCCGCUUCGGUAAAGAUGGUAGAUGUUUUCGGUAAAGCCAUCUGCAAUCGUUCUUGACCGGGUGUAGCCUUCUCACGUUGCCGAGCCGAGCCUAAUGCGCUGCGCAUGGAUGGAUGAUGCUGCGGUGGGUUCUUUUUUUGCUGCUCUGCGCAAAUUAUAAACAGGUUACCUGUAGCAGCAGGCUACACAAUGGAACAGCUGGAUAAGGGAAAUGGCUAGAGUCGCGCAAAACGGAAUAUACCAUUGGGGAUAAAGUUCGGAAUGUCACAAUUUCAUGUGUACAACAUCUAAAGACCUGCAUCACUAUACUGAGAGCUUUGCCUUUCUAAAAGGAUGUAUUUGGGUGUUUUUGGAGCCUUUGUUCAAGUUUUUUCGGGGCCCCUACACAACGAGGACGAGGAAGUGAUUUGCUGUUUGGAGUGCUGCUGUUUCAUUUUCUAAACAGUGUUGUUCUCUGCUGACGUGACUGGUGUCAGAACUUCUCUAGUCUCUGUGCUGAAUGGCUUUUGGAUGUUGAUGGCUGACAUCUGACCUCGAGCAAGUCCAACAUUACAGCUUUGCUCCAAUUGACCCUGCUCCCCAGGGUAGUGACUCUGGCAUAUUCCGAGAGGAACCACAUGUCUGAGAGGAACCACGCCUGUCUGUUAGGAUUGGCUGAGGGAAGACUGAAGUCUUAAGAAUGAACCCUGUAACCACGCAGAAUGAACCCUGUAACCACGCAGAAUGAACCCUGUAACCACGCAGAAUGAACCCUGUAACCACGCAGAAUGAACCCUGUAACCACGCAGAAUGAACCCUGUAACCACGCAGAAUGAACCCUGUCACCACGCAGAAUGAACCCUGUCACCACGCAGAAUGAACCCUGUCACCACGCAGAAUGAACCCUGUCACCACGCAGAAUGAACCCUGUCACCACGCAGAAUGAACCCUGUCACCACGCAGAAUGAAUCCUGUAACCACGCAGAAUUAAUACAUCGCAAAUAGACGUUCAUCCAUAAUACAUCGAAUUUCAAAGGGAAACUAUGAGAUCUUGUUGAUGAUUUGGCUGUGUCUCUGGAGCUGUGGACGUGGCAGGGUCGGAUAAGCCUGCAUAUAAGGAAUAACUUUGGGAAUAACUUUGGAAAUAAUGCUGGGAAUAAUGCUUAUACUGAUGUCUUUAGCAGUUGGACUAAAGCAAACAUAGCCUUUCAUAGUCUGAGAGAAAAAUAUAUUUUGGAAUACAAGUUAUGGAUUUAAUAUAAGUACAAGGUUUUUAUUUAUGUACACAGAUACUGUAUUUUAUUUUAGCAUCAUUAAACAUUUGAUCAUUUACUCAACGACAGCAGGCCUUACAUCGUGUGAAUUUCCAUGAAAAAGCUACAGUCAGAAUGUCUAGUAAUGAGUUUACAUCAGUUUGAGAUGUUACUGCAUCAUAGACCAUGUUAUAUAUCAACAACUCUUCAGACCCAUACAUUCUAAUGUCAUUUGUCCAAGAUGAAGUUACCGUUCGGGGACAAUAAAGUUAAUUUGAUCUCAUCUUAUAUCACCCAGUGUGCUUUUUUUCCCCUUCCGCUUAAUGGCACAGUCGGUUUGAUGAGGGGGGUUAGGGGGAG